UUGAAGUUUCAAUAAAACCUAAUUUUUCCUUUUAAAAAUUUCAUAAACCAUUUUAAAACAAAAAAAAUGCUGCACCCCUCCCCCCUUUUUGUUCUCUGCUAGGGUUCUAUACCCAAGCCGCCGCGCCGCCCGUUCCACCGUGCGCCACAGCUCCGAUCGCGACGGAGGUGGCGCCGAUCGACGACUCCGGCGAAAGAGAUUUGAAAUCGGCCUUUUAUAGCCGGAAUGGAGAAGAAAAGAAAAGAAGAAAAAAUCCAAAGAAAUCUAUUCUGUUAUUUGUUGGCCUAUUGCUGCCCGAUUUUUGCUAUUCUGUUCUGCUUUCUCUUCUUUGUCGUAUUGUUUGUUGUCGCAGGUAUAACGUGGCAUGAAGCGGCGCAUGUUGGGGAGGGUCGUGGUGCGAGAUUCGCGGCGGCGAGCGAGGACGAGCGGUGCCAGCUUGCUGCGGCGCUAAGCAGAAGCUAGGGUUUCUGCUAGUCUAUUUUUUUGUGGGCUAGGUUUAGGAUUAUUGGGUUGAAAAGGUCUGGGCCAAUUGGGCCUUAUUACAAUAACUAUUACCAUUCCCAGAAAAAAAAAGCUACCUAUGGAGCUAAUCUAUCAACAAGAUUUAGGAAAAAAAUUUAAGUAACACGAACUAGAUAAGGCUGAGGAUGGUUUCCCGAGUGCCAAGAUUAGAGUGUACUGAAUUUAUAAAAGAUGGAAAUGAAAAAGAAGAUUAAUAAAAGCCAUUUUUGACCGAAA